AGCUGGACAUGGUCAGGAGAGCAAGGAUACCUGGCAGUCCCUGCCAUCUCUGAAGGCAUUUAGCUAGAUCUCUUCUCUCUCAGAUGUGUUUGAAAGUAUCUUCCAAUUGUUAUUUCUGAAAGCCAGGCAUGAAGAGAGCCAGAAGCUCCUCUGGGCAGUGGGCGAAGGUUGACUACUGCAGAGGAGUAAACAUUGAAACUGCAAGUAAACAAAGAAGAAAAUGACAUGGACAGACUGCUUGGAGAAUUGCAUCACUGUUCCCAUGAUUUAUGAUUUUGUACCGUGAAAAGGCAUGGAAACUCCUUCUGGGUGACAUUAUGUUUCCUUGGAAUCAAGAAGAUCAAAGCAACAUCUGACCUCGGGUGGUUCUUGUGUUGUGAAUUAUGGAAACAGCUACAGCUGCCUUGGAGACUUCCACAUUGCCUGGAGUUUCAGCUGUAAAUUUAGUAGAAUAGCAGGAACUUGAGAGUUGAGGAAGGAAAAUCACUUUGGGAAGAAGGGAGCCUGUGAAUUUGUAAAUUGUCUAGAAUGUACUAAUACAUUUAACAACUCAUAAAAGCUUAUCCUAGAGCUAAUUUUCUCUACUUUUCUUUACAUAAAAUGGAAUGUAUUUUGCUGUUCUU